CAAUAGCGUAUAUUAAAGUUGUUGCAGUUAAAAAGCUCGUAGUUGGAUUUCUGGGUCCUGACGGUGGUUCGCCCUUGUGGUGUACACUUGCCGGUGGGGCCCAUCCUCCCAAAGACGCGUCGUGCUCUUCAUUGAGUGCGGCGUGGAUUUGGGACUUUUACUUUGAAAAAAUUAGAGUGUUCAAAGCAGGCUUAACGCUUGAAUACUUCAGCAUGGAAUAAUGGAAUAGGACUUUGGUCUUAUUUUGUUGGUUUCUAAGACCGAAGUAAUGAUUAAUAGGGACAGUUGGGGGCAUUAGUAUUUAAUUGUCAGAGGUGAAAUUCUUGGAUUUAUGAAAGACUAACUACUGCGAAAGCAUUUGCCAAGGAUGUUUUCAUUAA
rnacentral:rRNA from 1 species